GACGAACGCUGGCGGCGUGCUUAAUACAUGCAAGUCGAACGGAAAGGCCCUGCUUUUGUGGGGUGCUCGAGUGGCGAACGGGUGAGUAACACGUGAGUAACCUGCCCUUGACUUUGGGAUAACUUCAGGAAACUGGGGCUAAUACCGGAUAGGAGCUCCUGCUGCAUGGUGGGGGUUGGAAAGUUUCGGCGGUUGGGGAUGGGCUCGCGGCUUAUCAGCUUGUUGGUGGGGUAGUGGCUUACCAAGGCUUUGACGGGUAGCCGGCCUGAGAGGGUGACCGGCCACAUUGGGACUGAGAUACGGCCCAGACUCCUACGGGAGGCAGCAGUGGGGAAUAUUGCACAAUGGGCGGAAGCCUGAUGCAGCAACGCCGCGUGCGGGAUGACGGCCUUCGGGUUGUAAACCGCUUUCGCCUGUGACGAAGCGUGAGUGACGGUAAUGGGUGAAGAAGCACCGGCUAACUACGUG
rnacentral:rRNA from 1 species